rnacentral:lncRNA from 1 species
UAAAUAGAAUAUUUCGGCGAAUCUUCUCAUUUUCCGACACACGCGCGAUGCACAUGCUUAAUGUAAGGGUCUUUUGGUCAUUUUCACAAAAACAAAAAUUGUGGGCCCUAUUUUUUUCACAAUUUUAUUAUCUCUCUUACACAUACGAACAGUCAACCCUCUUCAAUCUUCACCAACUCUCUUCAAUCUUCAUCUUCUUCAAGCUGCUAGAGAAGAACUCCCUCUUCAAUCUUCAUCUUCUUCAAAUGCUAAUAAUUCUUCAAUCUUCCCGAUUCGAAAUUAUCAGCCAUCUAUAAUUAAAGCCAAAAAAAUAGAUUUUUCACAACUGUUGGGGUCAUAAUUAUUAAAAAUUAUCAGCCAUCUAUGAUUAAAGCAAAAAAAAUAGAUUUUUCACAAUUGUUGGGUCAUAAUUAUUAAGGGAAGAAGAAAAAGGAAAUUCCAGAAAACUAUUCCUUGGAAUUGAAACCCAUUUUCCUGAUUUUGAAGUAUGAUAUCGAUAAAUGGGGGAAUUAUUUUUGGGCCACAAUCCGAUAUAUUCCGCCAGAAGACGCCGCCAUUAGCGGCGACCCUCUAGAUGUUGAUGUUGAUGUUGAUGUUGAUGGGCUUUAGUACACGGGAACCCCUCUAAUCGGUCUCGAUCAAGAAACAGAGUUCUUCGCUAAUGGAGGUGGUGCUUGGCUUGGGGCGAAUGGAAGACACCAGCGCCGUGUCGGAGCCGCCGUGGGAAGGUGGCGGUGAAAAUACUGAUUCGAGGGGAGGAGUUAUCUUGUGGGAAUAAUGUUUAGAAUAAUUAGAGGAGUUGUUUGAAGAAGGCUUGGCAACGUCGGCCAUUGAAGAGGAGAUAAAAUUGGUGGACGGAGUUUCUUGAAUUGAGGGCUCUUCUCCAGAACGCCAUAUCCACCACCUCAUCUUGAUCGGAAGUUCUUCUCCAGCCGCUUGAAGAAGAUGAGGAUUGAAGAGAUGAGAGAUGAUAAAAUUGUGAAAAAUAAAUUAGGGCCCACCAUUUUUUUGUUGGAAAUUUACACGAAAUGCAAGUUUGUAUUUCGUGUAAAUUUACACGAAAUAAAACAAAUUUAUGAAAAAA